rnacentral:rRNA from 1 species
GACGAACCGUGCGAACGUUAUUCGGAAUCACUGGGCUUAAAGGGCGCGUAGGCGGGUCGGUAAGUCAGGGGUGAAAUCCCACGGCCCAACCGUGGAAGUGCCUCUGAUACUGCCGGCCUCGAGGGGGAUAGGGGCGUGCGGAACUCAGGGUGGAGCGGUGAAAUGCGUAGAUAUCUGGAGGAACACCGGUGGCGAAGGCGGCAUCCUGGACCGGUAUUGACGCUGAGGCGCGAAAGCCAGGGGAGCAAACGGG